UGUAUAUAUAAACGUAGUGUUUGUUUGUUUAAACAUUACAUUUCUAUAACAAUAAACACAUUUUUUGAAAACAUACAGGUAACAAGCUAUUGGAUUCGUUGUCGUCGUUGCUCGUCAUUUUCGUUGUCGUUUAUCUAGUUUCAGGAUAUAUCUGGAUCAAGCAACGAAAUAUCAAAAUGGCAUAUUUGGAAAAAGGCACAUAUUACAAAAACUUGAGAGUAUACUGAUGAAGGAACUGAAGAAAUGGCUAAAAAAAUGAGAAGAAGAGCCAGGGUAGGUAUCAUGAGUUAUCAUCAUCCAUACAAUAGCCGCACAAUAGCAACGAGCAGUCAUUCCAUCACCAGCUUCUGCAACAAAUAUUUUAUCAAAUCUUGAAGGAAGCUUUUUGGUAUUGUACAUGGAGAAAAGAUCAUGUUAGUCUUAUGUAGCUACAGUGAGUCUUUUUUUUUUCUUCUCAUUUUGGUUAUCUCUCUAUUAGUUUGUACUUUUCUCCUUUUGGUAUAAAACUAGAACUUCAUGAAUUGAAGGAAUAAGAAACAUUAGCUUUUAAUCUUUUUCUCAAUUGUCUUUUUCUUUUUUUUUUUUAGUUAUACUUACAAUUUUUAGCACAUAUA